UACGGAGGGGACUAGCGUUGUUCGGAAUUACUGGGCGUAAAGCGCACGUAGGCGGAUUUGUAAGUCAGGGGUGAAAUCCCGAGGCUCAACCUCGGAACUGCCUUUGAUACUGCAAAUCUCGAGUCCGGAAGAGGUGAGUGGAAUUCCUAGUGUAGAGGUGAAAUUCGUAGAUAUUAGGAAGAACACCAGUGGCGAAGGCGGACUCACUGGUCCGGUACUGACGCUGAGGUGCGAAAGCGUGGGGAGCAACAGGG
rnacentral:rRNA from 1 species